UGGGCUGACUGUGGUCUGAUAGGGGUGUCAGUGGGCUGACUGUGGUCUGAUAGGGGAGUCAGUGGGCUGACUGUGGUCUGAUAGGGGAGUCAGUGGGCUGACUGUGGUCUGAUAGGGGUGUCAGUGGGCUGACUGUGGUCUGAUAGGGGUGUCAGUGGGCUGACUGUGGUCUGAUAGGGGUGUCAGUGGGCUGACUGUGGUCUGAUAGGGGUGUCAGUGAGCUGAUUGUGAUCUGAUAGGGGUGUCAGUGGGCUGACUGUGGUCUGAUAGGGGUGUCAGUGGGCUGACUGUGGUCUGAUAGGGGUGUCAGUGGGCUGACUGUGGUCUGAUAGGGGUGUCAGUGAGCUGAUUGUGAUCUGAUAGGGGUGUCAGUGAGCUUACUGUGAACGCACUGAGAGACUCUGGGUUGAGGUCAGUGAUAAAGUAGUCUACAGUACUACUGCCAAGGGAUGAGCUCUCGGUGUAGGAGGCCCCUCCGUUGACUAUGAACAGACCCAGAGCUGCAGGAUGAGCUGUAGGUGUAGGAGGCCCCUCCGUUGACUAUGAACAGACCCAGAGCUGUAGGAUGAGCUGUAGGUGUAGGAGGCCCCUCCGUUGACUAUGAACAGACCCAGAGCUGUAGGAUGAGCUGUAGGUGUAGGAGGCCCCUCCGUUGACUAUGAACAGACCCAGAGCUGCAGGAUGAGCUGUAGGUGUAGGAGGCCCCUCCGUUGACUAUGAGCAGACCCAGAGCUGCAGGAUGAGCUGUAGGUGAAGGAGGCCCCUCCGUUGACUAUGAGCAGACCCAGAGCUGCAGGAUGAGCUGUAGGUGUAGGAGGCCCCUCCGUUGACUAUGAACAGACCCAGAGCUGCAGGAUGAGCUGUAGGUGUAGGAGGCCCCUCCGUUGACUAUGAACAGACCCAGAGCUGUAGGAUGAGCUGUAGGUGAAGGAGGCCCCUCCGUUGACUAUGAACAGACCCAGAGCUGUAGGAUGAGCUGUAGGUGAAGGAGGCCCCUCCGUUGACUAUGAACAGACCCAGAGCUGCAGGAUGAGCUGUAGGUGUAGGAGGCCCCUCCGUUGACUAUGAACAGACCCAGAGCUGUAGGAUGAGCUGUAGGUGAAGGAGGCCCCUCCGUUGACUAUGAACAGACCCAGAGCUGCAGGAUGAGCUGUAGGUGAAGGAGGCCCCUCCGUUGACUAUGAACAGACCCAGAGCUGCAGGAUGAGCUGUAGGUGUAGGAGGCCCCUCCGUUGACUAUGAACAGACCCAGAGCUGUAGGAUGAGCUGUAGGUGUAGGAGGCCCCUCCGUUGACUAUGAACAGACCCAGAGCUGUAGGAUGAGCUGUAGGUGUAGGAGGCCCCUCCGUUGACUAUGAGCAGACCCAGAGCUGCAGGAUGAGCUGUAGGUGUAGGAGGCCCCUCCGUUGACUAUGAACAGACCCAGAGCUGUAGGAUGAGCUGUAGGUGUAGGAGGCCCCUCGAAGCGUUGACUAUGAACAGACCCAGAGCUGCAGGAUGAGCUGUAGGUGUAGGAGGCCCCUCCGUUGACUAUGAGCAGACCCAGAGCUGCAGGAUGAGCUGUAGGUGUAGGAGGCCCCUCCGUUGACUAUGAACAGACCCAGAGCUGCAGGAUGAGCUGUAGGUGUAGGAGGCCCCUCCGUUGACUAUGAACAGACCCAGAGCUGCAGGAUGAGCUGUAGGUGUAGGAGGCCCCUCCGUUGACUAUGAACAGACCCAGAGCUGCAGGAUGAGCUGUAGGUGUAGGAGGCCCCUCCGUUGACUAUGAACAGACCCAGAGCUGCAGGAUGAGCUGUAGGUGUAGGAGGCCCCUCCGUUGACUAUGAACAGACCCAGAGCUGCAGGAUGAGCUGUAGGUGUAGGAGGCCCCUCCGUUGACUAUGAACAGACCCAGAGCUGCAGGAUGAGCUGUAGGUGUAGGAGGCCCCUCCGUUGACUAUGAACAGACCCAGAGCUGCAGGAUGAGCUGUAGGUGAAGGAGGCCCCUCCGUUGACUAUGAACAGACCCAGAGCUGCAGGAUGAGCUGUAGGUGUAGGAGGCCCCUCGAAGCGUUUUUAGCUAGGAAGUUCUAACAUCUAACCUCUGACCUCUAACCCUUAACCUCUGACUCCAGGCUGCUGUUUUUAGCUAGGAAGAUGGUUGACUUCAGCUCUUACUUCUAAGUUACAAUAGUUACCUUGACUUCUGCUUUAAUAAUGAACACCUCUGACCUCUAACCUCUGACCUCUGACUCCAGGCUGGCCUGACGGCGCUUGCUCUCCAGACAUUCAUCAACCUGUUCCAAAACUUCAGCCUCUUCACCGAUCAGCUCGACGACAGCGCCGGUUACCACGACAACGCCCGCAGCACGCCCGUCGCCAACGGAGUCACCAUAGUAACCACCAACCCCUACCAGCAGGCCCCCCCCUUCAGCGAAACUCUGAGUCUGGACCCUUCUGCCCUCACACCCGCUCCUGUCUUCUAGAGGAGAGAGACGGAGAGAGUAGAGAGAAGAGAAAGAUGGAGAGAUGGAGAGAUGGAGAGAAGAGAGAGAUGGAGAUAGAUGUAGAGAGGGGGAGAGAGGAGAGAGAGAUGGAGAGAAGAGAUAGAGGGAGAGAUAUAGAGAGAGGCAGAGAGAGAGAGAGAGAGAGAGAGAGAGAGAGGAGAGAUGGAGAGAAGAGAGAGAUGGAGAUAGAUGUAGAGAGGGGGAGAGAGGAGAGAGAGAUGGAGAGAAGAGAUAGAGGGAGAGAUAUAGAGAGAGGCAGAGAGAGAGAGAGAGAGAGAGAGAGAGGAGAUAGAUGAGCGAGAUGCGGAGGAAUGGACAGAGAGAGAAGAGAGGGAGGAUAUGAGAAAGAAAGACAGAGAGAAUAGGAGAGAGUUUCUAGGCGUGAGACCGUUGUGACAUGACAGAGGUUGUAGCUUCAAGAUGCUGUGGGUUAGCCUGAUUGGCCGACUGAGGGUCAGGUGAUGCUGGCUCUCUGUCACCAUGGCAACUGCAUGCUCAGUCUAGGAUUCACACAGAGCAGGAACUAGAGGACACACACUCAGUGGCCAUUUUACCCAGAGAGGUAUAUAACAUUGUUGUAAAUAUAGCAGUCUACAUCACCUUAUGAAGGUCCUUUGGAACUCAGUAUUAAAGCUGUAGGAAACAGAGAGAGAGAGAGACAGAGACAGAGAGAGGGAGAGAGAGAGAGACAGAGACAGAGACAGAGACAGAGACAGAGACAGAGAGAGAGAGAAACAGAGAGAGAGACAGAGAGAGACAGAGAAACAGAGAUAAUAGAGAGAGAGAGACAGAGAGAGAGAGAGAGAGAGAGAGAGAGAGAGAGAGAGAGAGAGAGAGAGAAACAGAGAUAACAGAGAGAGAGAGAGAGAGAGAGAGAGAGAGAGAGAGAGAGAGAGAGAGAGAGAGAGAGAGAGAGAGAGAGAGAG